rnacentral:tRNA from 4 species
GGGCCUAUAGCUCAAUGGUGGAGCAGAGGACUCAUAAUCCUUUGGUUGCAGGUUCGAGCCCUGCUGGGCCCACCA